GUCAGUCAUUGAUUAAUCCAUCAAAGAGAGAUACCCAGAUAGCCCAUUUAAUCAUGAAAAAUCACAAGGAAGGUUAAUUAACCAAGAAGUUGAUACGAUGGCAAUAGAUAGUAUUCCAUUCAACCGUAACUGUAUAGCUGCCAGGGUUGCUUUAGCGGUUUAUCUGUCUGGUUUUCUCUGCUUUCUGAUUGGAAUGGCCACACCGAACUGGCUUCAUGUCGAUCAAGGAAUGCAAGGCGGGCUAUGGAGUGCCUGCUAUUAUGUCCAAGAAGUUGGUUGGACCUGUAAUCAGUAUAAAUCACAGCCAGAAUUUAUUCCCGCAGUACAAGCUUUGGCAAUAAUAACAUUACUGUUUUACAUUGUGGAGUUUGUCGUCAUGGUAACAGUAAUUGUAUUGCUUUUGAGGAGUGUUGGCUUUGGAGACUAUUGGAAUCCUAAGAACAUAUCACUGGUUUCUUCCCUUGUUACGUUUUCUGCAGGUUGUUUUACUCUGAUGACUUUGAUUGUAGUAGCAGUUAAAGGUAAAGACUACGUUGCCGACUUGCAAAAGGAUCACUAUGGCAUCUUAACAUAUCAACAGUUAGGCAUUGAUUUAACCGGAAGUUACUCUAUUGGAUGGUCGUUUGGUGUUACAAUUUUGUCAGCGAUUAUUACAUUUAUAUCGUUCUCGUUGUUUAUAUUUGAAUAUAAACUCCUUCAAUCUCAAAUAGCUCUGCCUACCGAAGGUUCAUGAAUGAUCUAAACAUACCAACUAUUCCCGAAUAAGGUUUUACCCUUUAGUGAAUUAUUUGUUGUUGUAGCUCCCAGGUGUCUAUAUUGUAGAAGAGAUCAUUGUUCAGACUUGUGGCGGCGGACUAGGUAGAAUAACCAAUCAGAUCAACGACAAAUUUCUUAAAACACAUAUCAACAAUAUUUUAUAUACUCAGGAGAAAGAACAGAGCAAAGAGAAUAUGUAUCGUCUACAGCGUACCUAAAAAUUACUUGAGCGGGUUUUCAUAUUAUUUAAUUGAUAAAAUACACAGUAUAUAUAUAUAUGAGUUACAUUUGAGUUACCAUUGAAGAGUUUGCAAAGACAUUAAAACGUAAUUGACUUCAAUACAAGCCUUUUAAUGAAUAUAAUGUUUUACUUUAAGAAAGUGCAAUAGAUACGUAAAUAUUCUAUUAGCAGUAUAAAUAGUUUGUUACACAUUUAUUGACAAAAAGAUUUUCGCAGAUGACUUUAUUCAAGAUGCGUUCGCGUAUUCCAUAACCGUAUGUUUUCGAGUAGCAACAUUGAAGUUAACAAGGAGUAUACGUAUUUGAUUUUUAUAACAAAUGAUUGAAUUUCCAUAGGUGUUUGUUAACAUUCUUUAUAUGGUAAUACACAUUUGUAUCUUU